AUGGCGGCUAGAGCCAUGCUUGUAUAUUGGUUACUGUCUAAGUGUGCUAGAGUCCUCGAGGAGUAACUGCUGACCUGACCCGCUGGCUCUGGCCCUCAUGGCACAGCCAGUCAGCAGGCGAGUGACAGGG
ensembl:snoRNA